GGGUUGUGAGGUUAAGCGACUAAGCGUACACGGUGGAUGCCCUGGCAGUCAGAGGCGAUGAAGGACGUGCUAAUCUGCGAUAAGCGUCGGUAAGGUGAUAUGAACCGUUAUAACCGGCGAUUUCCGAAUGGGGAAACCCAGUGUGUUUCGACACACUAUCAUUAACUGAAUCCAUAGGUUAAUGAGGCGAACCGGGGGAACUGAAACAUCUAAGUACCCCGAGGAAAAGAAAUCAACCGAGAUUCCCCCAGUAGCGGCGAGCGAACGGGGAGGAGCCCAGAGCCUGAAUCAGUGUGUGUGUUAGUGGAAGCGUCUGGAAAGGCGCGCGAUACAGGGUGACAGCCCCGUACACAAAAAUGCACAUGCUGUGAGCUCGAUGAGUAGGGCGGGACACGUGGUAUCCUGUCUGAAUAUGGGGGGACCAUCCUCCAAGGCUAAAUACUCCUGACUGACCGAUAGUGAACCAGUACCGUGAGGGAAAGGCGAAAAGAACCCCGGCGAGGGGAGUGAAAAAGAACCUGAAACCGUGUACGUACAAGCAGUGGGAGCACGCUUAGGCGUGUGACUGCGUACCUUUUGUAUAAUGGGUCAGCGACUUAUAUUCUGUAGCAAGGUUAACCGAAUAGGGGAGCCGAAGGGAAACCGAGUCUUAACUGGGCGUUAAGUUGCAGGGUAUAGACCCGAAACCCGGUGAUCUAGCCAUGGGCAGGUUGAAGGUUGGGUAACACUAACUGGAGGACCGAACCGACUAAUGUUGAAAAAUUAGCGGAUGACUUGUGGCUGGGGGUGAAAGGCCAAUCAAACCGGGAGAUAGCUGGUUCUCCCCGAAAGCUAUUUAGGUAGCGCCUCGUGAAUUCAUCUCCGGGGGUAGAGCACUGUUUCGGCAAGGGGGUCAUCCCGACUUACCAACCCGAUGCAAACUGCGAAUACCGGAGAAUGUUAUCACGGGAGACACACGGCGGGUGCUAACGUCCGUCGUGAAGAGGGAAACAACCCAGACCGCCAGCUAAGGUCCCAAAGUCAUGGUUAAGUGGGAAACGAUGUGGGAAGGCCCAGACAGCCAGGAUGUUGGCUUAGAAGCAGCCAUCAUUUAAAGAAAGCGUAAUAGCUCACUGGUCGAGUCGGCCUGCGCGGAAGAUGUAACGGGGCUAAACCAUGCACCGAAGCUGCGGCAGCGACGCUUAUGCGUUGUUGGGUAGGGGAGCGUUCUGUAAGCCUGUGAAGGUGUGCUGUGAGGCAUGCUGGAGGUAUCAGAAGUGCGAAUGCUGACAUAAGUAACGAUAAAGCGGGUGAAAAGCCCGCUCGCCGGAAGACCAAGGGUUCCUGUCCAACGUUAAUCGGGGCAGGGUGAGUCGACCCCUAAGGCGAGGCCGAAAGGCGUAGUCGAUGGGAAACAGGUUAAUAUUCCUGUACUUGGUGUUACUGCGAAGGGGGGACGGAGAAGGCUAUGUUGGCCGGGCGACGGUUGUCCCGGUUUAAGCGUGUAGGCUGGUUUUCCAGGCAAAUCCGGAAAAUCAAGGCUGAGGCGUGAUGACGAGGCACUACGGUGCUGAAGCAACAAAUGCCCUGCUUCCAGGAAAAGCCUCUAAGCAUCAGGUAACAUCAAAUCGUACCCCAAACCGACACAGGUGGUCAGGUAGAGAAUACCAAGGCGCUUGAGAGAACUCGGGUGAAGGAACUAGGCAAAAUGGUGCCGUAACUUCGGGAGAAGGCACGCUGAUAUGUAGGUGAAGUCCCUCGCGGAUGGAGCUGAAAUCAGUCGAAGAUACCAGCUGGCUGCAACUGUUUAUUAAAAACACAGCACUGUGCAAACACGAAAGUGGACGUAUACGGUGUGACGCCUGCCCGGUGCCGGAAGGUUAAUUGAUGGGGUCAGCGCAAGCGAAGCUCUUGAUCGAAGCCCCGGUAAACGGCGGCCGUAACUAUAACGGUCCUAAGGUAGCGAAAUUCCUUGUCGGGUAAGUUCCGACCUGCACGAAUGGCGUAAUGAUGGCCAGGCUGUCUCCACCCGAGACUCAGUGAAAUUGAACUCGCUGUGAAGAUGCAGUGUACCCGCGGCAAGACGGAAAGACCCCGUGAACCUUUACUAUAGCUUGACACUGAACAUUGAGCCUUGAUGUGUAGGAUAGGUGGGAGGCUUAGAAGUGUGGACGCCAGUCUGCAUGGAGCCGACCUUGAAAUACCACCCUUUAAUGUUUGAUGUUCUAACGUUGACCCGUAAUCCGGGUUGCGGACAGUGUCUGGUGGGUAGUUUGACUGGGGCGGUCUCCUCCUAAAGAGUAACGGAGGAGCACGAAGGUUGGCUAAUCCUGGUCGGACAUCAGGAGGUUAGUGCAAUGGCAUAAGCCAGCUUGACUGCGAGCGUGACGGCGCGAGCAGGUGCGAAAGCAGGUCAUAGUGAUCCGGUGGUUCUGAAUGGAAGGGCCAUCGCUCAACGGAUAAAAGGUACUCCGGGGAUAACAGGCUGAUACCGCCCAAGAGUUCAUAUCGACGGCGGUGUUUGGCACCUCGAUGUCGGCUCAUCACAUCCUGGGGCUGAAGUAGGUCCCAAGGGUAUGGCUGUUCGCCAUUUAAAGUGGUACGCGAGCUGGGUUUAGAACGUCGUGAGACAGUUCGGUCCCUAUCUGCCGUGGGCGCUGGAGAACUGAGGGGGGCUGCUCCUAGUACGAGAGGACCGGAGUGGACGCAUCACUGGUGUUCGGGUUGUCAUGCCAAUGGCACUGCCCGGUAGCUAAAUGCGGAAGAGAUAAGUGCUGAAAGCAUCUAAGCACGAAACUUGCCCCGAGAUGAGUUCUCCCUGACUCCUUGAGAGUCCUGAAGGAACGUUGAAGACGACGACGUUGAUAGGCCGGGUGUGUAAGCGCAGCGAUGCGUUGAGCUAACCGGUACUAAUGAACCGUGAGGCUUAACCUUACAACGCCGAAGGUGUUU
rnacentral:rRNA from 1 species